AAUUAAAAAAAUGAGCGACACGACUACUCUUCUUGAGGGUUACACAAAAGAAUAUCCUUGACGAAGAACGACUGAAAAUGAAAAUGUAAAAAUCAAAAUCAUUGGAACUGCCACUCCUAACCUUCCUCCGUCUCUUUCAUAGCCCUCAGCUCCUGCUUGAAGCCUUCCUUCUCGUAAGCUUGAAUCAUUUCUGGUGGUAAAAUGUCCAGCUGCAAAUUUAACUCCUCGUAGAUCUUCUCUAUCCAUUUCAUCAUAAAGAAACUGUCUAGAUUCGCAUCGUUCGGUCCCACACAGCUUUCGUACGCAUCUUCGACGAACACUUGAAGACGAAGCACUUCCUCCGAACAAACGGAAUCACGGAAUACCGUUUCCAGAAGCUCGUUUGCAUAGCUUUCCAAUUCUGCAGCUCUGGUUUCUAAUUUGCGAAUGGUAUCCUGAAUUUACCACCAUCUCUACUAUCUUUUGAUCAGAAAAAGAAAUAAAGAUGUAAAAUCACCUAUGAGAACGUCCAAUGAAGCAACUUCCUCGACCAUUCUAUAUCGACCGAAUAAAUCAUCAGCAUGGUGAAGAAUGCUUUCUCCGGAAUCAGUCCGAUGAAUCCAGUCGUAAUCCGCGCGCCAAGCAAUCGGCGACACCUGAUAGAGGAACCUUUGGCACAUCUUCACCAUCCUCCAGCUCUCCUCCCAGUGAUAUACUUCCAAUCUGACCUUACCAUACUCUGUGGAAAGAAAAUACAACAUACUACGGAAAAUACAGAAAAUACAGAACAAGUUUUAGAAAACUCAAUUACAGAUAAUAAUGCAUAACAAAAAAGAGAAGAGAAUUAUAAAUUUGACAAUUUCUAUAAUCACAAGGUUUAUUUGUCUUAUUUAACUCUUUUAAUAACACGGAUUUGGAAAAUCUAUUUUUAGGUCUUUAACUAUCUUUUUGUCUAUUUCUUUUUAGUAUUUAGUUUCUUAUUUUUUGUAAGUAAUAAUAAACCUUCUAUUACCAACAGUAAUAUUGGAGCUGAAAGACGAUCCGAUAUUUUAAAACACGUUGGCAUCAAAAAACUGAAGAAUCGGUAGUUUGGAGGCAGACUAACUCUGUAAUGCAAGUUUCAUGAAAUCGAUGCAUGCAUCGCCACAUGUUUCAACGUGUGUGCAGGCCUUAAGAUAUUCUCUUGAAACAACAUAAAUUUUAUUUGAAACAUUUUUCUCUAUAGUGAAUAAUUUAAGAGAAAGUUAUAUAGUUAACCCCUGAGAUAUCCUGUAUAUAACUCUUUUAUCGCUAUAAUUUAAAACUUUAUAUACCAAUUAU